UACGGAGGAUGCGAGCGUUAUCCGGAUUUAUUGGGUUUAAAGGGUGCGUAGGUUGGUAAUUAAGUCAGUGGUGAAAUACUCCGGCUCAACCGGGGGGCUGCCGUUGAUACUGGUUACCUUGAGUUUAGAUGAUGUGGGCGGAAUGUGUCAUGUAGCGGUGAAAUGCAUAGAGAUGACACAGAACACCGAUAGCGAAGGCAGCUCACAAAGCUAUUACUGACGCUGAUGCACGAAAGCGUGGGGAUCAAACAGGAUUA
rnacentral:rRNA from 1 species